rnacentral:rRNA from 1 species
UACGGAAGGGGGCUAGCGUUGUUCGGAAUUACUGGGCGUAAAGCGCACGUAGGCGGCUUUGUAAGUUAGAGGUGAAAGCCUGGGGCUCAACUCCAGAACUGCCUUUAAGACUGCAUCGCUUGAACACGGGAGAGGUGAGUGGAAUUCCGAGUGUAGAGGUGAAAUUCGUAGAUAUUCGGAAGAACACCAGUGGCGAAGGCGGCUCACUGGACCGUUGUUGACGCUGAGGUGCGAAAGCGUGGGGAGCAAACAGG